rnacentral:tRNA from 1 species
UGCGCCCGUGGCGGAAUUGGCAGACGCGCUAGAUUUAGGUUCUAGUGUCUUAUGACGUGAGAGUUCAAGUCUCUCCGGGCGCACCCA